rnacentral:rRNA from 1 species
CGUGGGUAACCUGCCCAAGAGAUCGGGAUAACACCUGGAAACAGAUGCUAAUACCGGAUAACAAUAGAUGAUGCCUGUCAACUGUUUAAAAGAUGGUUCUGCUAUCACUCUUGGAUGGACCUGCGGUGCAUUAGCUAGUUGGUAGGGUAACGGCCUACCAAGGCGAUGAUGCAUGGCCGAGUUGAGAGACUGAUCGGCCACAUUGGGACCGAGACACGGCCCAAACUCCUACGGGAGGCAGCAGGC